GUGUCAGCAGCCGCGGUAAGACGAACCGUGCAAACGUUGUUCGGAAUCACUGGGCUUAAAGGGCGCGUAGGCGGCUCAUCAAGUCGGGGGUGAAAUACUUCAGCUUAACUGGAGAAGUGCCUUCGAUACUGGUGGGCUUGAGGGAGGUAGGGGUCUUUGGAACUUCUGGUGGAGCGGUGAAAUGCGUUGAUAUCAGAAGGAACGCCGGUGGCGAAAGCGAAGGACUGGACCUCUUCUGACGCUGAGGCGCGAAAGCUAGGGGAGCAAACGGGAUUAGAUACCCCCGUAGUCC
rnacentral:rRNA from 1 species